GGGGUGCCAUACUUAGAAGAUUCUAGCCAAGAAACUUAGUUUAUUUUAGCCUUCGAAAGUUCACAGUCUCAUUUUGCGACUUUAAUGUCCUUUAAUGGCCCGUAUUCAUGCUAAUUCAUGACCAGGAAGGUCAAUAGGUGUUCUCGGAUUAGUUUUAAAUUUUUUAGAACUCGUUUAGACCACGUUCGGAAGCCUAAAAUAGUGGACCAACGCGAUCUUGGCGC
rnacentral:lncRNA from 1 species